CAUACAAACUUCAAGUUACUAUUGCAGCAAUAGUGUGCUGCCAAAUUUACCCCCACCUAUAUCUCUUUAUUACUCAUUUGCCAUUCUUGCUAGAUUGUGCCACGUACACCCUUCUCUACGGAUCAUCCCACGCUCCCUCCUCCAGUCCUCCCUGCUUCCCUUCUUCAGUUCUUCUUUCUUUCACCCCUGAUUCUUGGAUGAUUUUUCGGCAAACCCUACCUUCUCACUCCAAUCUCCACCGCCACCGUUUUCUCUCUCCUCUCUGUUCUUCUUCCUCUCUCCUUCAUUGCUCUGCCCUACUCCUCUCUGAUGCGCGCUCUCUCGUCGCGGCAAGAAUGAAGUACGAAAGGAAUGGAACCUGAGAAGUAAUUCCAUGGCGAGCUCUUCACCCCCGUGAAAGGUAUCAAAGAUAGAAAGAUAAAUGAGGCAUCUGUUGUAGCAUUAAAUGCCGAGAAUUUGCAGAAAUACUCAAUUUAUUAUCACAGCUUCCUUCUUGAAUACAAGUUAUGGAGAUUUUGUGCGAAUUGAAGACAGUAAUGAUUCAAUGAAUGGUGACAUUAAGUUAAUUCAAAAUAUCAUGACCGAAUCAUUCAACCGCUCCUCUAAAAUUCUACGGAGUACUGCAUAAGGCGAGAGACAGAGAGAUGAGGGGGA